rnacentral:lncRNA from 1 species
CUCCUGCCUCAUAGGCCAAUAAAAAUUCAUUAUAACGUUGCAAUAGACGACGUCUGCGUUCUUCUGCCCGAUCCAAGAGGGAGCGGUAUUGGUUCUCAAUCUGCUCCUGGCGCUGGGUGAUGUUUCCUGGCUCUUCUCGUCGCCGCUGUGGGAGCAUCGGGAACUCAUCGUGGGCCAGUCUUCUGACAUAGACAGCUGGGACAAUGCCCUGAUGAUCAGCAGCUUCCACCUUCCACCAGUCCUUAUUGAUGGAACUGAGCAGCGUUAAGACAUCACCUUUCUUCAUGGUGACUUCUCGGGGGCUGCGGGCCUGGAAGUCAUAUAAAGCCAUGACCCUUUGUUCUCCAGCAACUCCCUCCACUGGUGCAGCCUGUUGUUGCUGAAUAAAAACAGGAAGCAGGUGUCA